rnacentral:tRNA from 1 species
CAGAAAAUAGUUUAUAUAAAAAUAUUAGUUUUGGGGACUGAAGAAGGGAGUUAUCUUUUUUCUGA